CUAUGUUGUUCUUGUUCAGCAACAGCACGCCUUCUUUGAAACCAUGGCAUAAAGUUGGGUCCUUUUAGAAACCGUCUGUAUAAGUCCAACCAAUUAGAUCUCAUCCGCUUUGAUAAGAACUUCCCCACACCUCUUGCUGAUAGGCUUGCCAAGAAUUCAAAAGUGUUAAAUGGGGGGAGAGGAGGAAGGUUAACAAAUGGAGAAGACCCUUCUGACGGUGUGGUUGCUCUAAAUUAUGGGCCAAAAGGAGCCAAGAAGUUGGUGGUGAGCUCCAAGAAAUGCUGUCGCAAUAUCUCAUUAUUGACAACUGACAUUGACUCCUCAACCCUUGGAGACAUCCCAGCAUCAAUGAGUCUAUUCAAAAUAGAAGUGUCUGGCUUUGUUGUUGCAGUAUAAGUGCUCCAAAUGGCUUCCUUAUGUUCUGUCAUAAGGCAAAGAGGACCAUCUCUUCUUAAUUUAACAGCAUUUAACAGUCUUGAAGGAGAAAACUUCUUUAAGGAAAGCUGUUGAAGACCCAAUCCUUCAGGUCUUCCAGGCAUCCUACCAGAAGAGGACCUGUUUGAAAAGGGAAGCCGGUUUGAAUUUGGAGCAGGGCUUCCAACCGAAACAAUGUGGGGAAUAUUACGAAGUGCUUUGAGGAAAAACAGGUUUGUCACUCCCAAAACAAUGGGAGGGAAUGAGUCUCCUUGAAGUGAAUUCAAACAAGCAAAUUCAGGGUCAUGGAUGGUGAAAUAUGGCCUAAAAUCAACACUAUAUAACAGUGGCGCAACCAAACUUACAAGACUAGCAACUGCCUCACUGCACUGGGAAGGUGUUGGUCCUAUGAUAAGAAUGGGUUCACCAAUAAGUAACAACUCCCAUAACACCCAAAGUUGCAAUAAAAUUCCCCGGAAUGUACCAAAAAUAUCAGAAUCAUGAAAAAGUCCCUGUGGUACUGACUGAUUUGUUGGAAGAAAAGGAGCUAUAGAAGAAGCAGACUCUUCAAACAUCCCAUUUUCCAGGGGCAAGCUAUGAGCAGGUGGCAGGUUAACUUUAAGCAUGGCAUUCCCAAUAGAAAGCUCCACUACAUGGCAUUCCCAAUAGGAAGCUCCAUUAGCUUACCAGGUACUGGGGCAGGCCACAUUGAAACAUAAGCAGCAAUAUGCUCAAGAGCUUUCUUUCCCAUGUCAAAAUAUAAAGGACCCAUGAUUUGUAACAAAGGUCUGAACACACCAGAGUACGGAUUAUGAGAUAAUAUCACUACAGAUUUUUGUUCCCCACCCCGCUUUAGCCUCUCAUCAUGUCUUUGCCUAUUAAACACAUAACCGUACAAGUAUUUCAACCCUUUGUCAUUUUUCCUAAUCUUUGUUCUUGGAGUCGACUUCUCCUCUGUGGACAUUGAAGAUGCUUCUUUAUCAUCGAUUCCUGUUAUCUCAGGUGCAGUCACAUUGCUCACAUUGCUUUUUUCAGAAGCCUUCCGUCUCCGGAUACGGAAAAAAAAUAUACAGUCAUGAAUGCUUGAACGGUUCUGGUGCUGGGAAAUAGAAUCUGGAAAUGAACUAAAAGCAACAUCGAGUUCUUCUUCAUUUGUGAGUAGACCAGGUGGAUAACACUCUUCAAUAAGCUGACCUUGUUCAAGAUCAAAUCUAAUGAUACAAAAAGUAACCACCCAUUGCUGCAAAGCUUCUGGAUCAGGUCUUAAAUUAUGCUCUGGCUUAACAGAAAAUGAAGGAGAUCGACUCAUUUCUAGGUUAUUCAACAGCCUAACUCAUCCAUCCAAAAAACCAAUUCUCUCCUUUUCAACCACAAUUUCCUGUAUUAUUUUCAUGGUUUUUACAGGAUGUUGACCGCUCCUCGGCUAUUCAGCUGUUUUCCAGUCACUUUCUUCUGGGAUUACUCCUCCUAAGCAAAUGUAAUGAGAAAAUCAAAGCCUGAACGGAAGAAUCCAGAUUAGUUAUUGCAUGAAUCCUCUAGAUCAGCCAAAUAUGGAUACCCAAUUGGCCAAACACAAAUGGCUCUUGGUUAGAAUAGAAGAAGGUAGAAGAAAAUGGAGAUCUCGGUGAGCUUCCUCACGAAACACAGUAACUGUAUGAAUUGCAGAUAGUUUAUGCAAUUAUGAACGUAGAUGACGAAUGAUUUCAGCUAUAUUUCGCUUAACUAUCCAAUAAUUUAAGGGUUUUUGUUUUUUAAAUGGAUAAAUUCGUGGGCUUUACAGAAAAAUAAGUACGUGCUUAAGGUCUCUUUCAAUCCCGGCGAUCUUAUUUUUGCCUGAAUAAGGAAAGAGGAAAGGCAGUUGCUCCACUCUCUUCUUUAUCGGG
rnacentral:misc_RNA from 1 species